GACGAACGCUGGCGGCGCGCUUAACACAUGCAAGUCGAACGGGGUUGUUCCUUCGGGGGCGGCCCAGUGGCGAACGGGUGCGUAACACGUGAGCAACCUGCCUUGGUGUGGGGGAUAACCUCGGGAAACCGGGGCUAAUACCGCAUGGGCUCCCUUGGCCGAUUGGCCGUGGGAGCAAAGGUCCUGCAAGGGACUGCACCGAGAGGGGCUCGCGGCGUAUCAGCUAGUUGGUGGGGUAACGGCUCACCAAGGCGACGACGCGUAGGGGGUCUGAGAGGGUGGGCCCCCCCAUUGGGGCUGGGAUACGGCCCAGACUUCUACGGGGGGCAGGCGUGGGGAAAUCUUGCGCAAUGGCCGAAAGGCUGACGCAGCGACGCCGCGUGCGGGAGGACGCUCUUCGGGGUGUAAACCGCUGUCAGCGGGGACGAACCCCUGGGGGAGGAAAUGCCCUCAGGUUGACGGUACCCGCAGAGGAAGCACCGGCUAACUCCGUG
rnacentral:rRNA from 1 species